GCCGUGCGCGGUCUAGCUUAGUUUCUGCAGAUUGAAAUAUUGUUAAUGCCAGAUAGUGAGCAAGUCGGUCAUGCAACACAGCAAGUUGCUUUGGAAGGAAAAACAGCUGAGCAGAGAACAGAUAAUACAUACGUCACUUCAUCUUCCUGCUGUGAAACAACAGUAACCCCACAGAGAUCUGCUAAAAAAGAAGAAAUUUUUUUCUGCAUCUGGCUAAAAACUUCCACAUGUCAAAAAAAAGUGUUUUAGGAUAAAGAAGAUUACUUUUCUGUGACAGGAGCAUCCUGGAAUCUUCUUCCUUGGUUAAUGCUUUAAGUUUUACUAUGCUGAACUAUUUUAAGUGGAGAGAAAACAACAUCUCUGUGAGGUUAAGCUUGGGUUUAGAUAUUCAAAGACAAAAUAAAAGUAAAAAUUCUGUAGCAAUCUAGGCCAUACACACUACAAUACCAUGUACCCCUGUUUGAAUAUCUAUACAAAUUCUCCUACUUCAGCAUAGCUCAGAGGAUUAAAAAAUGUAAUUUUCAACGGUCUAGCCACAUGUUGGUGUUUUAUUCAUAGACGAUUUUUAAAUUAACUGAUGCAUUGAAAGAAGGUAUUAAUUCCUUCCUGAUAUUAAAUUUCCUGAUUGCAAAGAUUGUAAAGAAAGUACUCACUUAAAAUUCUCAGAUGUAAUCAGAACCAGCUAGGUUAUAUUUUUAGACUGAUAGGAAAAUAAACUGUCUCCAUGACUCAUCAA